CAUUAGAUGACUGAAAGAAAGUAUUGAUCUCUUAAAUCAUAUUAUAGUAACUAACGUCUACUUCUAAUGA
rnacentral:tRNA from 1 species